rnacentral:lncRNA from 1 species
AAGGUGGGAUUUUACAAACAUAUCCAGCCAUGUUUUGGCAAAAAUAAAACAUAAAAAGGUGCCCUUGUCAAUCAUAGCAAAAAACCACAUAACAAUCAUAACAAAUGGUUAAUUGUUAUUUUUCAUAUCCCUUCAUACAGUAACUGAACCAUAUACGGUAGUAAUACUUAGACUGGAUGAUGAUCCAAUCAUAGUGACUUUGUAAAAAAGACGAAGUCCUAAUCCACAAUUGUUUACAUGAUAUUUCAUUCUGUAUUUGUUGAGUGCAAGCUCAUUAACUUUCGAGUACUUGUUGAAGUUUAUCGAAUUGUAAUUUUUAUAAAUGAUCAUGUAUAUCGUAGUAAUAUUGUAGAUUGUGUAAUUACAUCUAACAAAUUGUACCAUAAAGAUGAUAUCAUUGUGUUACACUGCAACUGAUUAUACACUUAUUUUGCCCUAUUGUUGUAGAUCGUGUUAUUAUUGCAAGCAAUUGACAAGUUUUGC